AAAUAACAGCCUCCUUUUAUUUAGCUAGUUUCCUCGGCAGGUUUGGCCGCUGGCUGGUCUCUGCCCCUCUAUGGACCCGGGAUGCCUCUCGCACCUCGGUGCCUCCUGCAGCCCCCACAUCACCCCAUGCCCUGUGCGCUGCAGAGCGUGCCCGCACGAGCCACAGCCUCUGCCCUUCGUGGCCUUGCUUGACCUGGCUGUCCCGGGCACCCGGAGCCACCGAGGCUGCCCCCAGCCCAGUCCGGAGCUGGCCUGUCUCCCAGCCCAGUUUCCCUCCCUGAGCUUUAGGACGCGUCCCGCCCGGGGCUUGGAAGCCCACAACCCUGCCGCAGCGAAAGGCAAAGGGCGGGAGGAGAGCUACAAAGGAGGCGGGUGGCCGCAGCCAGAGCCAGCCCCCAGCCGCGGGUAACCUUGGAGGCGCCCUCGAGUGAGUGUGAGCGCCGGGAUCGUGGCUAGCCGGCGCACCCGGAGGGGCGGGAGGAGGGAGCUGGGAGUUGGGAAAGGGGAACCGCUCCCCAAGAAACCCAGGAGUUGUGGGCGACCACAGCAGCCCCUCCUGGUGCUGGCCCUGGGGCAGCCCUCACGCUGGGUAAAGUUGGCCCCGGGGCUGCGGCCGGAGGGCAGUGCGCGAGCUGAGAAGAGCAGGCCGGUGAGCUCCUGGCUGGCCCGCGGAGGUGAGCUGGCGGCCAGAGCCGCGGGCGCGCUGCAGCCACUCGGUGCCCUACUCAGAGUAGCUCUCCUUUCCUCCCCUGGCGAUGACAGCUGAGGACAGCCGGGCUUCCCAGCCAGGCGUCCAACUGCUAAGAAGACAAAUUCUUCUCUGGCUUUUUACCGUCUUGGACUGUUCGCAAAACUGCCCCCACGGUUUUGCUUUUCCUCCGUAGUAUACUAGACAUCCGGAACCGAAAAUACACCUUCUUCAUUCAAAAGGACCCAAGCCUGAGCGGUGACCUUCAGGGCUGGGGUGUGCAGAACACCUAGGAGUAUGUUUUUUUCCCCCAAUCUUCAGCGGUGCCUCAAAAGAAUUCCCCUUUUCUCCCAACCCCCAGAUCUGGAUAUAGACUUGGUAAAUUAAGAUUCCAGCGAAAUAUUUUGCCAUCUGUGUAGAGACACUGUGUGGACUUUAGGUGUUAGGAUGUGGUUUUGGAAUUUUCUGUGCUGUCUUUAACUCUCAGCAGACAUUAAAAUAACAGCUUGGUCUCGGCCAGCAAGUGAGCAAAGGUUAUCCCAGCUACCACAGCACCUGCAAAAGCACAAGUGGAACUCACACAUUUUGCUUCCCGUGUUCUAAAAUGGAUUCUGAGCUGUCCAGAGAAAUCCGCACAGAAACGGAGGAGAACCUGAGAACAGAGGUGUACAUAUUAAAAAUUACACAGGCGAGCUCCUUUUCACUGAUGAUCCAGAGAGGGUGUAGGUUAAAAUCUUAGAACUGAAAGCACUGAACAGCUCCUACUUCUGCCUGAUUUUAUUGAAAGACCUUGUAGCAUAAUCUAAGGUCAGCAAAUGAAGUUUCUGGCUACCAACAUAAAAGAACUUUAAGAAUCAGUUCCCUGUAGGGAAAAUAACAUCUCAAAAUAAAGGAUGGAAAUAGCACACAUUUUUUUUUUAAGCAGAAAAUAUUAUACAGAGGAUCAAGAUCAAAAGAUUACUGGAAAGCAACAUGAAUAUCCGGAACCAAAACCCAGUGGCCUCUGUGUGGGUCUCUGACAGCAAUUUUUUAAAAACAGAUUUCUAAGAUUGUUUUAAUGUAAUUGUGCAUAUAUUAGCAUUUGGAAAAAGUUCUCCAUAAAACCUUGGAUU
ensembl:processed_transcript 9630013D21Rik RIKEN cDNA 9630013D21 gene